AGUCUUUACCCUUCUAAAAAGAUCUAGUGCGCAAUUGUGCGCAGUAGUAUUUCGAUGCAAUGAAAUUUGCAUCAUCUUUUCUUGUAAAUUGCAAUAAAUCAAUAAAAAGAUAAUGCAAAUUUUAUUAGUAGUGCCUCAAAAUACUACUGCGCACAAGUAUUGCUGCAAGUUUCAACAUACAAAUACACAAAUAUUUUGAGUUAUGAAGAAUGCACUUAGUGAUAACUACUUCAAACUGUAUUCAUUCUGUACAUUUUGUUAGUGUUGCAAAGUUUAAAUUAACGAUCCGGGCAAUCAAUAAAUACGCCUGGUACGCAGAACAAUAGCCGGGUAUGGGUAUGAAAUCGUUGCAAUCUGAUGGUCGAAUGAACCACAUGGGCAAGAUUCAAACAAUGCACGUUAACUCAAAUGAA